CUAUUUGAGUCCCCAUGUGCAGUCUAUCCAUUCUGUCUGAUCCAAGUUCUUUUCUCGUGUCGAGCUAGACAGUGCCGGGCCACUCGAAGAAUCUUAAUAUUUUAAAAUAAUCCUCAGUAAUAAGACGCGAUCUCUGUGGUUUUCUAAAAGCUUUUUAACUUCACAACAUGAGAGCAAAGUGGCGUAAGAAGCGUAUGCGGAGGCUAAAGCGUAAAAGGAGGAAGAUGCGCGCGAGGUCUAAAUAAAAUGGUACAUUGGGGGGAGUCUGGAAAAAUUGCUUUUUGUGCUUCUGCUGGUGUAUCAAAUAAAAACUAAAAAUCCA
rnacentral:lncRNA from 1 species